rnacentral:misc_RNA from 1 species
ACUGUUCAAGGUCCUGCUGAUGACAAUUCCCUACAACUACCUGUUCGGGAUCAUCCCGGCGCUGAUGAUCGGUGCUGUCGACGACAUUCUCUUUCACGUUCGGAAAAUUGGCCCGGUCCUUCGGAUGUUCAUGACUGGUCUCGCUGCAUUUUGCGCAACGGCGAUUAUGUACGGCACGCUGGGGAGCGAGACGGGCCUCAAG